rnacentral:rRNA from 1 species
AUUGAACGCUGGCGGCAGGCCUAACACAUGCAAGUCGAGCGGAUGAAGGGAGCUUGCUCCUGGAUUCAGCGGCGGACGGGUGAGUAAUGCCUAGGAAUCUGCCUGGUAGUGGGGGAUAACGUCCGGAAACGGGCGCUAAUACCGCAUACGUCCUGAGGGAGAAAGUGGGGGAUCUUCGGACCUCACGCUAUCAGAUGAGUCUAGGUCGGAUUAGCUAGUUGGUGGGGUAAAGGCCUACCAAGGCGACGAUCCGUAACUGGUCUGAGAGGAUGAUCAGUCACAUUAGAACUGAGACACGGUCCAGACUCCUACGGGAGGCAGCAGUGGGGAAUAUUGGACAAUGGGCGAAAGCCUGAUCCAGCCAGGCCGCGUGUGUGAAGAAGGUCUUCGGAUUGUAAAGCACUUUAAGUUGGGAGGAAGGGCAGUAAGUUAAUACCUUGCUGUUUUGACGUUACCAACAGAAUAAGCACCGGCUAACUACGUG